CGGGAUUGGUGUGACCACCCACGUCUCCGAAGACCCACUUGGAGAAACAGACCUCUGAGGGAUCCCUCCAUCACGCUACCUCACACCUCCUUCAGCUCCCCCCUUCCCUGGGGCAUCAAGUGUCUACAGGAUUAGAUGCAUCAUCUCUGGUUGAGGCCAGACAAGGCAUAAAUUCUGGACACACUGUGCAUUAGCCAGUUUCAGCAAGCGAAAGUUUAAAGGAAACAUUCUGAAAGAAGUUGAGGAGAACAGCAACCCAACUGAGGAAGGACUGAGGAAGACCAGCAGUCUCAAUUAAUC